rnacentral:rRNA from 1 species
UCUUGACCUCAAAUCGGGUGAGACUACCCGCUGAACUUAAGCAUAUCA